CAAAAUAUUGCCCUCCUGACCCCUGCCAGAACCGUUCUCUGGAGUACCGUCUCUUACGCAUCAAGUCUCUAUUUGACUUGGUCUCUGCAGUAUGCGAUAUGCAUGACCUCUAUGCAAAGAACGGGUGAGGCAGAGACCGAUUCCGACAGAACGGGUGAGGUAGAGACCGAUUCAGGCUGGAGUGGGUGAGGAAGAGAUCGAGUCCGGCAGAGACGGGGUGAGGUAGAGACCGACGCAAGCAGAGACCAGGGUCCAGUUGAUUGCUGGUACUACAUUUUCAUGAUCUUGGCAACCAUAUACAUAUUCUGUGGUACUGUGUUUAUGUUACUGGGAUCUGGGGAGGUGCAGCCUUGGAACCAGCCACAGUUUAAGGAGCUACCACUUACUGAGGACACUUCACAAUUACAAAAGGAGUCUUGAGAUAUACUGUAAGCCACUUCAGGCUAAUGUUGUUUUAACAAUGACUUUCAUUUGUAAAUCUUAAUUUCAAAAAUAACCACAUUAUAUACAAAUUAUUAAAUAGGAAUUUGUUUAUAUUUCCAACAAAGUAUUUAAUUCUGAGGAAAGAAGAAGUUUUACAGAUUCAUGCUGAAUAGACAUAAACUUUAUUACAACAUAUGCCUGCCCAGGGUUUCCUGUCUAAUUGCUAAAAAUGUAAAAGUUAAUUUGUCUAUAAAGCAAUAAAUAUUUUUUAUGUAAACAAGA